ensembl:snRNA U6 U6 spliceosomal RNA
GUGCUCACUUCAGCAGCAUGUAUACUAAAAUUGGGAUGAUACAGAGAUUAGCAUAGAACCUGUGCAAGAAUAAUGCCCAAAUUCAUGGCACAUUCCAUAUUUUU